GACGAACGCUGGCGGCGUGCUUAACACAUGCAAGUCGAACGGAAAGGCCCUGCUUUUGUGGGGUGCUCGAGUGGCGAACGGGUGAGUAACACGUGAGUAACCUGCCCUUGACUUUGGGAUAACUUCAGGAAACUGGGGCUAAUCCCGGAUAGGAGCUCCUGCUGCAUGGUGGGGGUUGGAAAGUUUCGGCGGUUGGGGAUGGACUCGCGGCUUAUCAGCUUGUUGGUGGGGUAGUGGCUUACCAAGGCUUUGACGGGUAGCCGGCCUGAGAGGGUGACCGGCCACAUUGGGACUGAGAUACGGCCCAGACCCCUACGGGAGGCAGCAGUGGGGAAUAUUGCACAAUGGGCGGAAGCCUGAUGCAGCAACGCCGCGUGCGGGAUGACGGCCUUCGGGUUGUAAACCGCUUUCGCCUGUGACGAAGCGUGAGUGACGGUAAUGGGUAAAGAAGCACCGGCUAACUACGUG
rnacentral:rRNA from 1 species